GGUCAAUGGCCUAACGGCUGAACUGGCAACUUGGAGAAGUGGCAAGUCUUCCAGUAUGGGGAGCAAAACAGCUAUGGGUCAAGUCCGAUAUCUUUAGGAGAAGUCUUAUUGUGAGGGCGAGUUAUAUAACACCAUAGGACUGGCCGUCCCAUAUGAAAAGAUUAUAUUAGAAUUGAAUGAAGCUUUGUUUAUAUAUUGAUAAUGACAGUAUAUAUAUCGUGUCUUGACUAAUUGCGUGCCAGCAGUCGCGGUAAUACGUAAGAGACUAGUGUUAUUCAUCUUAAUUAGGUUUAAAGGGUACCCAGACGGUCAAUAUAGCUUAUAAAAUGUUAGUACUUGACUAGAGUUUUAUGUAAGAGGGCAGUACUUGAGGAGGAGAGAUGAAAUUUCGUGAUACCAAAGGGACUCUGUAAAGGCGAAGGCAGCCCUCUAUGUAAAAACUGACGUUGAAGGACGAAGGCACAGAGAACAAACAGGAUUAGAUACCCAAGUAGUCUUUGCAGUAAAUGAUGAAUGCCAUAGGUUAGAUUGAUCAAUUAUAGUCUAGGGUUAGUCUAGCAAACUAAUGCCCUAUGAUAUAAUUCAAAAUAUCUGGUCUAUAAAUGAAAGUGUAAGCAUUUCACCUCAAGAGUAAUGUGGCAACGCAGGAACUGAAAUCACUAGACCGUUUCUGACACCAGUAGUGAAGUAUGUUAUUUAAU
rnacentral:rRNA from 1 species